rnacentral:sRNA from 1 species
GCGGAGACAAAUGUUUCCGUUCACUCCUCACACCACAUUCCGCCCGGACUAUUGUUCGGGCGGUU